AGAGUUUGAUCCUGGCUCAGGAUAAAGACUGGCGGCGUGCCUAACACAUGCAAGUCGAACGCUCUGUUUUGCUUCGGCAGGACAGAGAGUGGCGGACGGGUGAGUAUCACGUGGGUACCUGCCCCGAGGUGAGGAAUACCUCCGAGAAAUCGGAGACAAGUCCGCAUACGCUCUCGUGAGAGCAAAGUCGCUCUGGUAACAGCGCGACGCCUGGGGAUGGGCCUGCGGCUGAUUAGCUGGUUGGUGGGGUAACAGCUUACCAAGGCGACGAUCAGUAGCUGGUCUGAGAGGAUGGUCAGCCACACUGGGAUUGAGAACGGCCCAGACUCCUACGGGGGGCAGCAGUGAGGAAUUUUCGGCAAUGGGGGUCACCCUGACCGAGCAACGCCGCGUGCAGGAGGACGCUUUUCGGAGUGUAAACUGCUUUACUGGGGGACGACACGAAGGACGGUACCCCAGCAACCAGCCCCGGCUAACUACGUGCCAGCAGCCGCGGUAAUACGUAGGGGGCAAGCGUUGUCCGGAGUUACUGGGCGUAAAGCGCCCGCAGGCGGUGGCGUGCGUUCGUGCUGACAAUGGCUUGCUUAACGAGCCAGGGCGCACGAAAACGACGCCACUUGAGGGACCCAGAGGGACACGGAAUUCCGGGUGGAGUGGUGAAAUGCGUAGAGAUCCGGAGGAACACCAAAGGCGAAGGCAGUGUCCUGGGGGUCGCCUGACGCUCGGGGGCGAGAGCUAGGGGAGCGAACGGGAUUAGAUACCCCGGUAGUCC
rnacentral:rRNA from 1 species